rnacentral:rRNA from 1 species
AGAGUUUGAUCCUGGCUCAGGACGAACGCUGGCGGCGCGCCUAACACAUGCAAGUCGAGCGGGAACCUCUUCAGGGGUAACCCUGGGGAGGGGAGAGCGGCGAACGGGUGAGUAACACGUGGGCAACCUGCCCCAGACUCUGGGAUAACUCCGGGAAACCGGGGCUAAUACCGGAUACUCCGAUCGGAUCGCAUGGUCUGAUCGGGAAAGCUCCGACGGUCUGGGAUGGGCCCGCGGCCCAUUAGCUUGUUGGUGGGGUAACGGCCUACCAAGGCAACGAUGGGUAGCUGGUCUGAGAGGACGAUCAGCCACACUGGGACUGAGACACGGCCCAGACUCCUACGGGAGGCAGCAGUGGGGAAUCUUGCGCAAUGCGCGAAAGCGUGACGCAGCAACACCGCGUGAGGGAAGACGGCCUUCGGGUUGUAAACCUCUUUCAGGAGGGACGAAGGUCCAGCAGUUAAUAGCUGUCUGGACUGACGGUACCUCCAGAAGAAGCUCCGGCUGACCACGUGCCAGCCGCCGCGGUAAUUC